GCUGUUUUGUCCAAUUUCAGGAAAAAGUCCAUUCGUUAUAAGCAUGCAUCCCCCACACUGGAGUAAAACUGGAAAAGGAAAAGUUGCUUUCCUGGUCUGUACUGUGGAGGCACCAGAACCUGUGACUGUGAAUUGGUACAGAGAUGGCAGUCCAGUGUACACAAUGUCAGAGAAAUCAGUAAAGGAAGGACACAUGAUUAUUAACAUCACCAAGCUAGAGGUGAAAGCUGACAACUGGACCAGUGGCUCAGAAUACAAAUGUCAAAUUUCCAAGGGUACUGAAAUACGUGAGGAAAAAACCAGCAUUUGUUCUGCAUACCCCUUCGUCAGACCAUCAAUUGUGGUGAAAAAACCCCGGCUGCAGAGUUUUGUGAAUGACAACAAGGACAAAGUGACUGCUCAGUGCAAGGUUGCUUCCCUCUACCCAGUCAAAGUGUUUUGGGUACUCGAUGGGUUGAGGAAAACAUCAGGAGAGCAGUCAAUAACUGAUUUUGGCAACAGGACACAAAGCAUCACCAGCAACUUGACUGUGAGCAAGAAAGAUUGGACAGGUUUCAAAGCCGUCACAUGCCAUGCUGAACAUCCCUGCUUAAACUCAACGGAGAGUAUCCAAUUAAAAGGACCUCAAGCGCUGAACUCCACACCUGAGAUCAGAAGAACCAUACCCCAUCCGGAAAGGAACAACCACAUGGAGCUGGAAUGCAUGGUCAAAGGACUUUCCCCUGGUGAAAUUUACAUCACUUUUCAAGCCAAUGGAAAGGAUAUUUCCCGCCCCCAGUUCAUAGAUCUGUCAUCUGAGACAUCAGUAGUGACUCACUUUGCUGUGCCCACAAACCAGUGGAAGCCAGAAAACACGUUUACUUGCAAAGUCAGCCAAGGUUAUGUUAAACCCUUGAAAUCGAAACCAACUGGACAGAUUUUUGGUGAGACCUCUGUUGAGCUCCUCAUUCUGCCCAGGCUGAAAGGAGAAACAAAUGACAAAAAACUUGUGUGCCUCGCGUCCGGGUUCAACCCACAAAUCAAGUGGUACUCUGGAACCACUGAGCUGCAGGCUACAGCCAACAAGGCUCUGAUGGCAGAAAACGGGCUAGUCACAGUGGCCAGCGAGAUCAUUUUACAUAGUGACUGGGAGAACUGGAUUUCCUUUUCCUGUGAAGUUAAUGACCGGUCACAGACCAUCAGGAAAAACAUCAGUAAAUGUGCAGUGAUGCCUCUCGCCUCUUGGAUGGCACAGCUGUCUCUAGAAGGUCCUAAUUCAGUCAGCAGUGGCCUGGAAGGCACCGUGUCGGUCACAUGCAUGGCGGUUGCCUACGACUUGAACAGCUCCUCCCUCGCUUGGAGGGUGGAUGGACACAUCCAGGAGGGAGAGAUGCUAAAUGUGGAGCAUGGCAGAAACAUAGACGGAAUGCAGACUCUGCGCAACCGACUCAAUGUGACUGUGCAGGACUGGCUGGCAAACAAACGCAUUACGUGUGUAGUAAAGCAUCCCUGUUCCAAGCAAACUCAGGAAAAGCAUAUAACAAGGGGAAAUGAUACCCAGCGACCAACUGUUCAGAUCAUAAAUCUGAUGGACUCAGGUCCUCUGAAUUCCACCAGCAGCAGCCUGCUCUGUCUGAUCUCCAACUUCUUCCCUGACAUUAUCAGUGUUCACUGGGAGCUCAGCGGAACAAAGCUGGCGCCCAGCAUGUAUGCCAGCAGCGCUGUAGCCCGACAGGCAAACAGCACCUACUCCAUGUACAGCAUGCUUCUGGUUCCACCUUCUGAUCUGCAGCAAGACCUGUAUGGUUGCGUGGUGAGGCACGAGUUUUCAGAGCAGCCCAUAGCUGCGACCUUCCAGAGAAAGCCAAAAGAGAAUGCCCCUGUCGUGCCACCAUCCCCGCCCACAGCGACUCUCCUACAGUCCUCCACUGAGCUAGUCUGCCUGGUGCAAGGCUUCAACCCAGCACCCAUCAACAUCACCUGGUUCCUGAACCAUGUCACCGAACUCCUGGAACACAACACCACUGGCCCAUCCCAAGGACUCGAUGGCACGUUCACUGUCAUCAGCCAUCUGCGUACCUCCAUCUCUGACAGUACACCUGGGACAGUCUAUACCUGUGCUGUGACCCACGGUACCACCUGGCUUCGAGUCAACAUCAGCAAACAAGAAAUCAUUGAGCAAGAUAUUUACUUUGAUGGGACCAACUACCAUGAUAUGAUGGAGGAGAGUAUUGAGGAAAUAUGGAAAGCCACCUGUAUCUUCCUGGUCCUCUUCAUCAUCUCUCUCAUUUAUGGCAGCUCCAUCACAUUUAUGAAGGUUCAUUGA